UACGAAGGGGGCUAGCGUUGCUCGGAAUCACUGGGCGUAAAGCGCACGUAGGCGGAUUGUUAAGUCAGGGGUGAAAUCCUGGAGCUCAACUCCAGAACUGCCUUUGAUACUGGCGAUCUUGAGUCCGGGAGAGGUGAGUGGAAUUGCGAGUGUAGAGGUGAAAUUCGUAGAUAUUCGCAAGAACACCAGUGGCGAAGGCGGCUCACUGGCCCGGUACUGACGCUGAGGUGCGAAAGCGUGGGGAGCAAACAGG
rnacentral:rRNA from 1 species